UACGUAGGGUGCAAGCGUUGUCCGGAAUUAUUGGGCGUAAAGAGCUCGUAGGCGGUCUGUUGCGUCCGCUGUGAAAACUCGGGGCUUAACCCCGAGCCUGCAGUGGAUACGGGCAGACUAGAGGUAGGUAGGGGGAGAAUGGAAUUCCACGUGUAGCAGUGAAAUGCGUAGAGAUGUGGAGGAACACCGAUGGCGAAGGCAGCCUCCUGGGCCAGCACUGACGCUCAUGCACGAAAGCGUGGGGGAGCAAACAGG
rnacentral:rRNA from 1 species